rnacentral:rRNA from 1 species
GACGAACGCUGGCGGCGUGCUUAACACAUGCAAGUCGAACGGAAAGGCCCUGCUUUUGUGGGGUGCUCGAGUGGCGAACGGGUGAGUAACACGUGAGUAACCUGCCCUUGACUUUGGGAUAACUUCCGGAAACUGGGGCUAAUACCGGAUAGGAGCUCCUGCUGCAUGGUGGUGGUUGGAAAGUUUCGGCGGUUGGGGAUGGACUCGCGGCUUAUCAGCUUGUUGGUGGGGUAGUGGCUUACCAAGGCUUUGACGGGUAGCCGGCCUGAGAGGGUGACCGGCCACAUUGGGAAUGAGAUACGGCCCAGACUCCUACGGGAGGCAGCAGUGGGGAAUAUUGCACAAUGGGCGGAAGCCUGAUGCAGCAACGCCGCGUGCGGGAUGACGGCCUUCGGGUUGUAAACCGCUUUCGCCUGUGACGAAGCGUGAGUGACGGUAAUGGGUAAAGAAGCACCGGCUAACUACGUG